rnacentral:rRNA from 1 species
GAUGAACGCUGGCGGCGUGCCUAAUACAUGCAAGUCGAGCGAACAGACGAGAGUGCUUGCACUCUCUGACGUUAGCGGCGGACGGGUGAGUAACACGUGGGUAACCUACCUAUAAGACUGGGAUAACUUCGGGAAACCGGAGCUACUACCGGAUAAUAUUUAGCUUCGCAUGAAGCAAUAGUGAAAGACGGUUCUGCUGUCACUUAUAGAUGGACCCGCGGUGUAUUAGCUAGUUGGUGAGGUAACGGCUCACCAAGGCAACGAUACAUAGCCGACCUGAGAGGGUGAUCGGCCACACUGGGAGUGAGACACGGCCCAGACUCCUACGGGAGGCAGCAGUAGGGAAUCUUCCGCAAUGGACGAAAGUCUGACGGAGCAAUGCCGCGUGAGUGAAGAAGGUUUUCGGAUCGUAAAACUCUGUUGUAAGGGAAGAACAAGUACGUUAGUAACUGAACGUACCAUGACGGUACCUGACCAGAAAGCCACGGCUAACUACGUG